CCCCGGAUAGCCUUGCGGUUAAGGUGUUCGAUUCGCAAUCGUUCACCCCGGGUUCGAGUCCCCGUGGGGG
rnacentral:tRNA from 1 species